rnacentral:rRNA from 1 species
UCUGGUUCAGAGUGAACGCUGGUGGCGUGUUUAAGACAUGCAAGUCGAAUGUCUAAGAAUAUUCAUUCUUACGACAUGGCGCACGGGUGAGUAAUACUAAAAGUAUCUACCUUUUGGUCUGGGAUAACUGUCUAAUAAUCNNNGAUUAUUAUAGGAAUACCGGAUAGCUUUAUAUAAAUGUAUUUUUACAAAGGAGGUCAGGCAGACAAAUUUAAAAAACAUUAUAUAAUUUAAAGAUUUAUUGCCAAAAGAUGAUUUUUAGCCGGAUUAGGUAGUUGGUAGAGUAACGGUUUACCAAGCCGAUGAUCCGUAGCCGAUCUUAACGGAUGACCGGCCACAUCGGAACUGAGACACGGUCCGAGUUCCUUCGGGAAGCUGCAGUCAAGAAUCUUGGACAAUGCACGAAAGUGUGAUCCAGCGACGCCACGUGGGUGANGACUGCCAAUAGGUUGUAAAACCCUUUCACCAGGGAGAAUAAUGAUGUUACCUGGAAAAGAAGUCCCGGCUAAUUCUGUGCCAGCAGCCGCGGUAAUACAGGAGGGACGAGUGUUACUCGGAAUGAUUAGGCGUAAAGGGUCAUUUAAGCGGUCCGAUAAGUUAAAAGCUAACAGUUAGAGCCUAACUCUUUCAAACUUUUAAUACUGUCAGACUAGAGUAUAUCAGAGAAUAGUAGAAUUCACAGAGGAGGGGUAAAAUCCAGUAAUUUUGUGAGGAACACCAAAAGCGAAGGCAACUAUUUGGGAUAUUACUGACGCUGAAAGACGAAGGCAUAGGUAGCAAAUGGGAUUAGAGACCCCAGUAGUCUAUGCAGUAAACGAUGAGUGCUAAACGUAUGAUAAUUUAAGAUUAUUGUGUGUUACAGCUAACGCAUUAAGCACUCCGCCUGGGGAGUACGAUCGCAAGGUUGAAACUCAAAGAAAUUGGCGGGGAUUCAUACAAGCGGUGGAACAUGUGGUUUAAUUCGACGAUACGCGAGAAACCUUACCGAUCCUUGACAUCUAUUGUUGUUUAAUAUGUAGAUAUUUUAUGUAAAAUAGACAGGUGUUGCAUGGCUGUCGUCAGCUCGUGUCGUGAGAUGUUGGGUUAA